rnacentral:rRNA from 1 species
UGGGGAAUAUUGCACAAUGGGGGAAACCCUGAUGCAGCGACGCCGCGUGAACGAAGAAGGUAUUCGUAUCGUAAAGUUCUGUCCUAUGGGAAGAUAAUGACAGUACCAUAGAAGAAAGCUCCGGCUAAAUACGUGCCAGCAGCCGCGGUAAUACGUAUGGAGCGAGCGUUGUCCGGAAUUAUUGGGCGUAAAGGGUACGCAGGCGGUUUAAUAAGUCGAAUGUUAAAGAUCGGGGCUCAACCCCGCAAAGCAUUGGAAACUGAUAAACUUGAGUAGUGGAGAGGAAAGUGGAAUUCGUAGUGUAGUGGUGAAAUACGUAGAUAUUAGGAGGAAUACCAGUAGCGAAGGCGACUUUCUGGACACAAACUGACGCUGAGGUACGAAAGCGUGGGGAGCAAACAGG